rnacentral:lncRNA from 1 species
CUCUGAGUCAGCCUCUGCUUACUUGCACUGGGUGCCAGCUCUGUUUAUUAGGAAAAACUAAUAAUGCCCAGGUAAUGUUUGCUCAGAGCCUAACACAUAGCCCAGACUGACAAAACUGGAGAAAUUCAAGGGGAGAUGGAGGACAAUGUACCUUGCUCCCCUUUCUGUCUUCAUUAACUUGGUCAUCUCUUUUGCUUCACGUUUCUUUCUGUUUCCUGGGCAGUAGUCAAGCUCUGGAGACUUCAGGGCAAUUCUCUGGGCUUAAAGCACUCAGGGCUCUCCUGUCUGCACCCCCAGGAUCACAGCCCAAGUGCCAGGAUGCCCUUCGCUCUCUCGUCCCUUUUCUCAUCUUUGGAAAGGAGAAGCUGCUUCAGAGGAAGUAUCCUCCCAGACCAGGAUACCAGGAGCCAGGAUGA